UAUCCCGCGGUACACCGCCGU
rnacentral:snRNA from 1 species